AUAGCUUAGCGGUAAAGUGCUUGGCUUCCGAACCAGGGGUCCCGGGUUCAAAUCCUGGU
rfam:Biomphalaria glabrata isolate BB02 linkage group LG71i unlocalized genomic scaffold LG71i_random_Scaffold224, whole genome shotgun sequence.